UACGUAGGGGGCAAGCGUUGUCCGGAAUCAUUGGGCGUAAAGGGCGCGUAGGCGAUUCGAUAAGUCUCAUGUGAAAUCCCAGGGCCUAACCCUGGAAUGGCAUGGGAUACUGUUGGAUUUGAGUUCCGGAGAGGAAGGCAGAAUUCCCGGUGUAGCGGUGAAAUGCGUAGAUAUCGGGAGGAAUACCAGUGGCGAAGGCGGCCUUCUGGACGGAUACUGACGCUGAGGCGCGAAAGCCAGGGGAGCAAACGGG
rnacentral:rRNA from 1 species